CAGCAGCCACGGGAAUACGUAGGUGGCAAGCGUUGUCCGGAAUUAUUGGGCGUAAAGGGCUCGCAGGCGGUUUCUUAAGUCUGAUGUGAAAGCCCCCGGCUCAACCGGGGAGGGUCAUUGGAAACUGGGAAACUUGAGUGCAGAAGAGGAGAGUGGAAUUCCACGUGUAGCGGUGAAAUGCGUAGAGAUGUGGAGGAACACCAGUGGCGAAGGCGACUCUCUGGUCUGUAACUGACGCUGAGGAGCGAAAGCGUGGGGAGCGAACAGGAUUAGAUACCCCAGUAGUCCCUGUCUCUUAUAA
rnacentral:rRNA from 1 species